UGUGUAGGUGGUCAUAUUAGUCAGCUGUUAAAUCCCAGGGCUUAACUCUGGAAUCGCAGCCGAAACGGUACGACUUGAGAGCGUAAGAGGUGAAUGGAACUCAUGGUGUAGGGGUGAAAUCCGUUGAUAUCAUGGGGAACACCGAAAGCGAAAGCAAUUCACUGGUACGUUUCUGACACUCAAACACGAAAGCGUGGGUAGCGAACG
rnacentral:rRNA from 1 species